GGCGCCAUUUUUUGAACGAACGUUUGUUUUCACGUUGUCAAUUUCAAUCGUUGUUAGAUUUUCUCUUGUACAUUUCCGUCAUGCCUUCACGGUAUGAUAGCGUGAGAAGUGUUUUUGAAGAAGCCCAGCGUAGUUUUCAACAGCACAAGAUUUUGACGGAGUUGAAAAAACUCCACGACAAGUCCUCUCCGGAUGAAUUUCUGGAAAGUUUCCUGUUGCAUCUGAAACAUGCGAUGGUUGUGUUUAACAGAGAACCUGCUGUUGAAAGGGUCAUCGAGUUCGUGGCCAAGUAUGCAACACUGAAAGAUCACCGUACCUCUCAAACUGAAAAGGAUGGCGAUAGAAGUGAUGGUGAAGAGGAUGAUUACAGCAAUGUUUUCCUUGAUUCCAUCUUUACAUUCUUACUGGACUCGCAUGAUGUUAAAGACAAAGCUGUAAGAUUCCGUGUCUGUCAGCUUAUCAACAAGCUCUUGAAUAACAUGGGUGAUGAUGCUGUCAUUGAUGAUGACCUGGCAGAGAGGAUAUUUGAGAGCAUGUUGAUACGGCUCCAUGACAAGUUUCCUGCUGUGCGAGUGCAAGCUGUUGCAGCUAUCUCCAGGCUCCAGGACCCCUCAGAUCCUGAAUGCAUUGUAAUAUCAACAUACUUAAAACUCAUGUCCAAUGAUUCUAGUGUUGAAGUGCGCAGAACAGUGCUCCUGAAUGUUGCUCUUACUUCUCAGACAUUGGAGGGAAUAAUAGGAAGAACCCAAGACAUGACAGAGUCAGUUCGAAAGUUAGCUUAUCGCACUCUAGCAGAGAAGGUGAACAUCAAAUCAUUUACAAUUGCCCAGCGUGUGCAGCUGCUUUCCAAUGGUCUGCAUGACAGAUCAGAAGCCGUUAAGGAAGUUUGUGCCAAGGAGCUUCUUUACCAGUGGUUGAACAGUUUUGAUGGGGAUGUGGUCAAACUUCUGAAGUGCUUAGAUGUUGAUGGCUGCACAGAAGUUGCAGAACUGGCUUUGAAGACAUUGCUGAAUGGGCUGCCAAAUGAAGACCUUCAAGGUUACAUUGAUUCUUUAAAGAAAGGGCAACAAGGAGGAGGUCCUGUGGAGAUCAGCUAUGAAGUUCUAGAUGCUGAGACAGUAUUUUAUUGGAGAUGUCUUGGAGAACAUUUGAAGUCCAUGGGGGUGAAUGGUGAAGCACUUUUGGAUGAACUUCUACCUGAAGUGUCAGUAUUUUGCAAAUAUAUUCAAGGGUAUGUGGACAACUGUUUGUCCAAAACAUCUUCAGAGGAGUCUGAUCAUUCAAGAAGUCAACAGAACUUUGUUACUAAGCAACUGUUGAUUCUUGUGGGGGUGAUGGACCUCUCUGAUGAAGUUGGAAGAAAGAAUCUUUGCCAGAUGAUCCAUGACUUGUUGGUGCACGCAGAGAUCCAAGAGUCAUUGGUGGAUGUCCUACAUGACAGAUAUAUAGAUGUUCAACCAGAAGAAAGCAGCAGAAUCCAGGAGCUGGUUGAAAUUAUUGCUGAUGUUAGACAACCCAUUGUCAUGAUUGAGACUGCUCAAAACAAGGAGAAAAAACGACUGUGGGAACUAAAGGUUGCAGGAAUGAGCGUCAAACUUAACCAGUUGCGUGACGAAAUGGAACAAUGUGUGAUGGAUCAGGAUUUUGCUAAGGCAGCUGAACUGAAAGAGCAAAUAGCAGAUCUGGGAGGACAGAAGGAAAUACUUGAUUCACAAGAAAACUCCUUUUCCCAGACUAUUAGGGAAGAAAAGGAUGAUCCUGAUACACUGUUGAAGUGUUUAACCAUUGCAUCUGAGAUGUUACAGGGUGUGGCAACAAGUGGACUGAAUCCAACACUUACCACUUUGGUUCAAACUUUGAUUCUUCCUGGUGUUCAGAAUGAAGAUCCCUUAGUGCGUAACAUGGCUGUCAAAUGCUUGGGCUUGUGUGCACUACUUUCUUGUGAAUUUGCACGCACACAUCUUGUACUUUUUCUGCAGGUGGCUCAACUAGAUCAAGAGCUUGUGCGAGCCACUGCUCUUCAGGUUGUUUUUGACCUUCUUCUAAAGUUUGGUCUUGAGGCUUUCAAAGUCAAUGCUUCAGUCCCUGAGAUAGAGGGUGAUGACCCUAGCAUCAAUGGCUCAGAUCAGGACAAAUUAGAGGUGCAGAAUGAUGAAAAUGAAGGAGAUGAAGAUGUCACAGAAAAGAGUGAUGAUGGAGAUGUGGAGGAGACCCAGGCUCCAGACACUGACACUGCUGCGAGUGUGCUUACGAUACUUACAGGAAUUUUAGAAAGUGAGAGCAAUGACCUUAGGAAUGUGGCCGCUGAAGGAUUGGCCAAGCUGUUGCUGUCAGGUCGUGUUCUGAGUGCCAAACUUUUCUCUCGUCUUCUGUUACUGUGGUACAAUCCUACCACUGAGGAUGAUGUCAACCUGCGGCACUGCCUGGGUGUCUUUUUCCCUGUUUUUGCCUUUGCUUCACGCACUAAUCAGGAGCUCAUUGAAGAGGCAUUCCUUCCCACCCUUAAGACAUUAUUCAGUGCCCCUAUGUCAUCUCCUCUGGCAUCAGUUAACAUCAAUAAUGUGGCAGAGUUGCUGGUGGAUUUGACAAAUGCAAAGUACUUAGAAAAGAAAGAAAAAUCACAUAUUGAUGCAAAUGAGGCAUUCAGCAUUCAUGCUUCUCUGAGCAUUGCAAUGGCUAAUGAGAUUUUGUCUUGUCCUGAUGCUCCUGGUGUCCGAGUUCUGUGCAAGGUACUGACUAUGAUGGACUUGACUGGCUGCACACAGUCUACAGUCAAGGAAAUUAAAGUCCUUACAAUGAGGAUGAUAGAGGAAAUUGAAGAGAAUAUGUCCCUGAAAUCAUUGAGCAAAUUAAACAAAAUGCUGGAAACUCUCACAGACAAGGAGAUUGAUGGUGUCUCACAGAAUGAAUCAGAUGAUGACAAUCAGGCAAAUGCUGAGAAAACAGAGGAACCCAAUGAAGACAAACCCUCUGAAGUCCUGAAUGAAAACCAAGCUGACAACAAAUCAAAAGAAACAAAAUCAAGAAGAAAGAGUAAGAAGCAAGCAGGGUCAAAUUCAGUCGCCAGGGACAAAGAGCAUGGGUACGAAAAGAAGUGACAUGAUAGGUGUCUUGCACUAGCCCCAUUGCUUUGGGCAAGGAAACACCAGCUCGUCAAACAAGGUCAAGCAGAAAAAGCAAGACAAAUGUUAGUAAAAUGGUC
rnacentral:misc_RNA from 1 species